AUUGAACGCUGGCGGCAGGCCUAACACAUGCAAGUCGAGCGGAUGAAGGGAGCUUGCUCCUGGAUUCAGCGGCGGACGGGUGAGUAAUGCCUAGGAAUCUGCCUGGUAGUGGGGGAUAACGUCCGGAAACGGGCGCUAAUACCGCAUACGUCCUGAGGGAGAAAGUGGGGGAUCUUCGGACCUCACGCUAUCAGAUGAGCCUAGGUCGGAUUAGCUAGUUGGUGGGGUAAAGGCCUACCAAGGCGACGAUCCGUAACUGGUCUGAGAGGAUGAUCAGUCACACUGGAACUGAGACACGGUCCAGACUCCUACGGGAGGCAGCAGUGGGGAAUAUUGGACAAUGGGCGAAAGCCUGAUCCAGCCAUGCCGCAUGUGUGAAGAAGGUCUUCGGAUUGUAAAGCACUUUAAGUUGGGAGGAAGGGCAGUAAGUUAAUACCCUGCUGUUUUGACGUUACCAACAGAAUAAGCACCGGCUAACUUCGUG
rnacentral:rRNA from 1 species